CAGCCGCCACGGUAAAACGGAGGGGGCUAGCGUUGUUCGGAAUUACUGGGCGUAAAGCGCACGUAGGCGGCUUGGUAAGUUAGAGGUGAAAGCCCGGAGCUCAACUCCGGAAUUGCCUUUGAUACUGGGUGUCUUGAGUGUGAUAGAGGUAUGUGGAACUCCGAGUGUAGAGGUGAAAUUCGUAGAUAUUCGGAAGAACACCAGUGGCGAAGGCGACUGACUGGACAAGUAUUGACGCUGAGGUGCGAAAGCGUGGGGAGCAAACAGGAUUAGAUACCCCCGUAGUCCCUGUCUCUUAUCC
rnacentral:rRNA from 1 species